CGCCUGGGGAGUGCGGCCGCAAGGCUAAAACUCAAAGGAAUUGACGGGGCCCCGCACAAGCGGCGGAGCAUGCGGAUUAAUUCGAUGCAACGCGUAGAACCUUACCUGGGUUUGACAUGAUCGGGAGUGCUCAGAGAUGGGUGUGCCUCUUUUGGGGUCGGUUCACAGGUGGUGCAUGGCUGUCGUCAGCUCGUGUAGUGAGAUGUUGGGUUAAGUCCCGCAACGAGCGCAACCCUUGUUUUUAGUUGCCUUAGGAACUCUAAAAAGACUGCUGGUUAUAAACCGGAGGAAGGUGGGGAUGACGUCAAGUCAGCAUGCCCCUUACACCCUGGGCUACACACGUGCUACAUUGGGCGAGACAAUGAGAUGCAAAUCUGCGAAGAAUAGCUAAUCUAUAAACUCGUUCUAAGUUCGGAUUGUAGGCUGCAACUCGCCUACAUGAAGUGGAAUCGCUAGUAAUCGCUGGUCAGUACACAGCGGUGAAUUCGUUCCCGGGGCCUUG
rnacentral:rRNA from 1 species